rnacentral:rRNA from 1 species
CGGAGAGGGAGCAUGAGAAAUGGCUACCACAUCUACGGAAGGCAGCAGGCGCGCAAAUUACCCACUCCUAGAACGGGGAGGUAGUGACGAAAAUAACAAUACCGGACUCAAUGAGGCUCGGUAAUUGAAAUGAGUACAGUUUAAAACCCUUAACGAGGAUCUAUUGGAGGGCAAGUCUGGUGCCAGCAGCCGCGGUAAUUCCAGCUCCAAUAGCGUAUAUUAAAGUUGUUGCAGUUAAAAAGCUCGUAGUUGGAUCUCGGGUACUAGCAUGUGGUACGCUUAACUGCGUUACUACAUGUCUGGUCCUAAUCAACCGGUUGGCCGUUGAUGCCCUUUAUUGGGUGUUUUCGGUAGCCGGUACGUUUACUUUGAGAAAAUUAGAGUGCUUAAAGCAGGCCUUACGCCUGAAUAAUGUUGCAUGGAAUAAUAGAAUAGGACCUCGGUUCUAUUUUGUUGGUUUUGUAGAGCAUUGAGGUAAUGAUUAAUAGGGACAGAC